rnacentral:rRNA from 1 species
GACGAACGCUGGCGGCGUGCUUAACACAUGCAAGUCGAACGGAAAGGCCCUGCUUUUGUGGGGUGCUCGAGUGGCGAACGGGUGAGUAACACGUGAGUAACCUGCCCUUGACUUUGGGAUAACUUCAGGAAACUGGGGCUAAUACCGGAUAGGAGCUCCUGCUGCAUGGUGGGGGUUGGAAAGUUUCGGCGGUUGGGGAUGGACUCGCGGCUUAUCAGCUUGUUGGUGGGGUAGUGGCUUACCAAGGCUUUGACGGGUAGCCGGCCUGAGAGGGUGACCGGCGACAUUGGGACUGCGGUACGGCGCAGACUCCUACGGGAGGCAGCAGUGGGGAAUAUUGCACAAUGGGCGGAAGCCUGAUGCAGCAACGCCGCGUGCGGGAUGACGGCCUACGGGUUGUAAACCGCUUUCGCCUGUGACGAAGCGUGAGUGACGGUAAUGGGUAAAGAAGCACCGGCUAACUACGUG